rnacentral:lncRNA from 10 species
UCACACUAAAAAUGGAGGUGCAGGCCGGGCGCGGUGGCUCAUGCCUGUAAUUCCAGCACUUCGGGAGGCUGAGGCGUGCGGAUCAUGAGGUCAGGAGAUCAAGACCAUCCUGGCUAACACGGUGAAACCCCAUCUCUACUAAAAAUACAAAAAAAUUAGCCAGGCAUGGUGGCGGGUGCCUGUAGUCCCAGCUACUUGGGAGGCUGAGGCAGGAG